UGGGGAAUAUUGGACAAUGGGGGGAACCCUGAUCCAGCCAUGCCGCGUGUGUGAAGAAGGCCUUAUGGUUGUAAAGCACUUUAAGCGAGGAGGAGGGUACUGGUAUUAAUACUACCAGCUACUGGACGUUACUCGCAGAAUAAGCACCGGCUAACUCUGUGCCAGCAGCCGCGGUAAUACAGAGGGUGCGAGCGUUAAUCGGAUUUACUGGGCGUAAAGCGUGCGUAGGCGGCUAAUUGAGUCGGAUGUGAAAUCCCCGAGCUUAACUUGGGAAUUGCAUUCGAUACUGGUUAGCUAGAGUGUGGGAGAGGAUGGUAGAAUUCCAGGUGUAGCGGUGAAAUGCGUAGAGAUCUGGAGGAAUACCGAUGGCGAAGGCAGCCAUCUGGCCCAACACUGACGCUGAGGUACGAAAGCAUGGGGAGCAAACAGG
rnacentral:rRNA from 1 species